rnacentral:misc_RNA from 1 species
UUAAGUUCAGCGGGUAUUCCUACCUGAUCCGAGGUCAACCUUGAGAUAUAAGGGGUUGUUUUACGGCAAGAACCCGCCGCACGCCCUGAGCGAAGAUGUAUUACUGCGCUCGGUGUGACUAGCGAGCCCGCCACUGGUUCAGGGCCUGCGGGCAGCCCGCAGGACCCCAACACAAGCCGGGGGCUUGAUGGUUGAAAUGA